CGUAAGCAGGUUUAAAAAAAAAUGUCAAUAAAUCAUUCAAAAAACAAAAUUAAAAUUUAAACCAGCUCAAAACUGAAUCAAUAUCAGUUAAGGAUCGAGUAAAAUAAAGAACUAAAAAUAGUUUUUAAAAAAAAACUUGAAAAUAACAAAAGCCCAUGUCAAGAACCAAUGAAAACAAUCAUCCAGAAGCAAUAAAAAAGAAAAGAAAAAUGGCCAAAACAGAUUUGAAAAAUUAACCAGACAAAAAAACCAUACACACAUCAAAAAUGCAUGAAAACAAAAAUAAAACCCUGUCAAAUAUCGUAACAAGUAAAAAAGGCAAAACCAAAUCAAAAACAAAAGACAUAAGUAAAAUGAAAAAAAGAGACAAAAUCCCUAUCAAUAACCACAAAAAACAACCAAACAAAAUAAGUAUAACUAAAAAAGUUUAGUAAAAAAUAUAUAUAUUGAAAAAAGUCAAAAUCCUAGACACCUGGAAAACACAUGAAAAGCAAAUUCAGAAAACAAUUAAACAAAAAAAACUCAAUAGGUUUAAAAAAAUAUUAAUAAAUCAUUCAAAAAACACAAUUAAAAUUUAAACCAGCUCAAAACUGAAUCACUAUCAGUCAAGGAUCAAGUAAAACAAAGAACUAAAAAAACAAAACAAAAAAAACCUUGAAAAUAACAAAAGUCCAUGUCAAGAAUGAAUUGAAGCAAUAAAAAAAAAUCAUAAAAGAAAAAUGGUCAAAACAGAUUUAAAAAAAUGAACCAGACAAAAAAAAAAACGCACAUCAAAAACGCAUCAAAACAUAAAAAUAAAACCCUGUCAAAUAUCGUAAUAAACAAGUAAAAAAAAAGUCAACAAUCAUUUCAAGAAUUCACUUAAAAGCAAGUCUUCAAACCGGCUGCAAAACAUGUCAAAAACACUCAUAAAACAAAUUAACGUCAAGUUAGGUGCAAAAAAACAAGUGAAAAAAAUUAAGAACUUGUCAAAAACAAGUAAAGAAAAAAGAAAUAAAUCCAAAACCACUUCAAAACAAAUUCAUGUUUUUUUUUGUUGUUGUGGGGGGGCAUUGACACAGACACGUCUUACGAAAAGUGCCUUUUCGCGUGCGAAUCAAGAGGGAAGUGUUUUUCGGGGGUGACGUUAUUUGUCGCAGACAAACUGAAAUAACCUUCGGUUUGUAUUAUUGACAUUUUCUCUCCCAUGGAAAAAAAUGCAGAAGUGUGCGGCCGAAGACGUUUGCGAGUCACGCCGGCGUGGUGCUCUUCUUCUUCUCCUUCUUCCUCGUCGACGCCGAGCACGCCGCGAGUUUGUGGGAAAGAAAAAAAAAAUGCGUACAUCCCUGCUGACCUUUGGCUAGAGAUGUGGGGAAAACCCCGGACUGGUCGCUAGUAAACACUAUCUGUCGUUCGAUUAAUUCUCCCAUUGAGAGUCAGUGGUGCAGCUCAAGCCCCGCUAGCCGGUAAUCGAGCUAAACGCUAAUGUCCUAAUCCCCGCGGGGGGUGAGUCACCGCUUUGCGUUAGCUUCGGCUAAUCUGUGGGAAACAAAUUACGAAAUGUUUCUGCAGCUGCCGCGCGCGCGGCGAUGUCUGCCGCAUGUAUGUCGCUGCGUACACGCGGGGCGGGGGCGGAUUGGUAAAUAAUCGGCACGCGGAUUAACGACGUACAUUUGGUUCGCGUGAAUCACCCUUUUCAAAGUUAAUCUGCGCUCUUAACGCUCGUCAGCGCCGACGUGACGAAACGGGACAGGGCUUUCCGAGGGUUCAUCUUGGACUCAAGCCGGUUAAGAUCUUGAAAGGCCCUUCAGUCAACAGAUUGCUAAACUAGUUAGCGUUCGCUUUUGUCAAGAUGAAACUUUUACUGCGAUUAUACACACAGACUGUUGUGUAAACAAAGGCGUCGCGUAAUCUACCAUUAAAACACAUCAAAUAAUUCUUGCCUCCCUCGUGUUUUAGAAGUCACAGGGACAGGAUGUAGACCGCGUAGCACGUGACGGACACCAAUGAAGCGCCGCUUUCUCUCGUCGCCCCCCUCCCGGCAUCAAGCACGCACACAAUGCAGCCCUCCCAGACUAUUGCGGUGGGCACAUUUGAGGGUUAGCGGCACUUUGAAGGCCACCAUUGAUGUCAAAUGGCUGCCAGACAGCCCAAGGAUAUGACGCCUGAUGGAGGACAGGAAGUCUCGUUGGUCGUGUCCGACUCGCUUGCCACUGUGGGUAUGCGCUGCCCCCCCGCCGCAUUGCUCCUGGAUAUUCGUCUGCGUGAGGGUGUUGACGUGUGGUACCGUAUUUCCGUGUAUCUCAAUGUGAUGAGUGUUCCCGUGUGUACACGCUAGUAUCUAUGUGGCACAUGGUGUUUGGACAUUAAUAACUUACAGUUAUAAACAUUAAUAUUUUUGGCCCACCCUAAACACAACACUCGCAAUAUUUUUUAAAAGACUUUACCCCUCAAAUUUAACUCUUGUGUGACUGGACAUGUAUAACAUUUGCUUUUAUUUAAGUGUAUUCGUUCUUAUAGUAACAGCAAUUUGCCAGCCGGGGGCGCUGUGUUGCACCCGCCGGCCGACGCUGCCCAGCUCAUUCGCAGAAGAAGCUGCAGUACAACUGCUAGCGGAUGCUGUUUAUGUGCUGUGAGCUAAACGUGUAUUCUGUGCUGUUUACAGAGCUGGUCUCCCAUUGGCUAUCGCCGUAGCAGCCUCCUGGCAUCCCGUUGGCUAGGAGGAACGUCGGUCUUUACCCACGAUGCUUUGCAUUUCCCUUGGACACUUGAAAGAUACUUGACUUUUUUGUAUGUUUUCUCCCAGCUGUGUAACAUCCCCUUCCCCUCCGUCACUCACCCUUCUCUUCGCGUAGUUGCCCAAAGCCAAAGCAGGUCUCACCAAAUUUGUACGAGAGCGGUGAUGUCGGACCCGCAGAACAUCAGAUAACCUCCGGUACCACCACGCCAAAGCGCCACCUGGACCAGAGUCGCCGGCCCGCUGGAGCCUAUCCCAGCUGACUCUGGGCAAGAGGCGGGGUGCACCCUGAACUGGUCACCAGCCACUCGCAGGGUACAAAUAAACAAGCGAUCAUUAACAGUCACAUUCACACUAAUGGCUCACCUGAGCUACUCUCAUCCCACAUACUGACACAAUGGCGACUCUGGAUUUCGUUACUAUGACGACAGCACCUGAGUUGCGACUUGAGCGGCUUCUACUUGGGGAAACGGGUCAUUCCAGACUGUAGGGGAAAAAGUGUAAUCGUAAUGACAUUAAAAAUAUUUUCAAUAGUGGAGGCAGCACUUUGUGCACUUUUUCAAUAAGUGUACUAGGUGAG